UGAAAGCGGAAUAUAUUUAUUACAGACAUGGUAAGGACCCGUAAAUCCUGCUCUGGGUCCCAGCGGCGGGGACCGCAGAGCCCUGGUGAUUGUACGCAACGUCGGGGGACGCGGCUCCCGCCCGACAGAGCUCCGUGUCCCGAGUACAGCACACACGGGGCGGCAUGCAGCGGCCCGGACACCAACCACAGAAGUUAUACAUUCAUUUGGCCAUCCGACACAUUCACGAGCGGGUCGAAAAGACAUCGAGGCUAAAGGAGGGGGAGUACGGAAACGGGGAGAGCGCUACGCUUUGAGGUAUCUGCUGGAGCUUAACACGUCUGCUUGAUGCUGCCGUCAGCCCUGACCGAUCGAAAAGUGGGUCCGGUUUGGCGAAUGCACUCACCCUGCUUCACCUGAUCAUCUAAACGUCAUCUCUAGAAAAAAUCUGUAAAAAGAUAAAUCUCUCGGACAAAGUAUUUACAAGCAACGAACUCAUAGACACGAACAAAGUAUACAUUAAAUUAAAGGAUGAAAGUCCUAGAAGUCGUG
rnacentral:lncRNA from 1 species